CCUUCGAUAGCUCAGUUGGAAGAGCGUGAGACUGUAAUGGUUACAACGAUAUAUAUCUCAAUGUCGCUGGUUCGAUCCCGGCUCGAAGGA